UUGGUGUGUUUUCUCUGCAGUUUUUAAAGCCAAAUUAAUCAAGAGAAACCCUUCCAGCAGCUAUGAGGAAUACGUCAUGGAGAUUGAAGCCGUCUUGAAACAAGGAGACGAGCUGUUCAAUCCACCCGUUCAAAGAAUGUUCCUCUCUCACGUGGCCUGCAGAGAAGCUCUGGGCCUGAGAGAGGGGCAGAAGUAUUUCAUCAUCGGACGGCCGCAGGAUCAGUUGCGUCCGAAGACAGAUACGGAUCCCUACAUAUACAUCCUGGGGUCAGAAACUUGGAUCGAGUGGUGGCCGCAAGGACCAGACUGUCAAUCCAGUGAACACGAGAGCACCUGUGAAGAUCUUGCGGUUGUUAGCAGUGAGCUUGGUUAUGGAUGUCCUUCCUGAUCGACUCUCUCACCAAGCUGUUCAGUAGUACUAUUCAGUGAAACGCCGGUAACUAAAAAGGGCUUGUUCUGACAUUUAAUUGUUGUUCUCAAACAUCAUAGAAAUAAAAUUCUGUAGAGUAUCAUCAAAAUGUUUAAUCACACCUAUUUACUCUACCCAUGUCACGAGUUAAGUUUAGACUUAGUAGUGAUGCUACAUGCCGCCCUCUAGUGGCCAGUGUUGUAGAAUUCUGCUUUUGUUUUUCAAUUUCUAUCUACAACCCUUUUGGAUCGUGUGUCUCCAAUCCUUGUGCUGGACAGGUGUGUUUCUUUACAGGUUCACUGCAGCAAAGCUCUCGAUGAUGUAAAUUAGCUCCUGAUUCUUAAUUAAACUGCUAACCAAAGUUCUACA